GACGAACGCUGGCGGCGUGCUUAACACAUGCAAGUCGAACGGAAAGUCCCUGCUUUUGUGGGGUGCUCGAGUGGCGAACUGGUGAGUAACACGUGAGUAACCUGCCCUUGACUUUGGGAUAACUUCAGGAAACUGGGUCUAAUACCGGAUAGGAUCUCCUGCUGCAUGGUGGGGGUUGGAAAGUUUCGGCGGUUGGGGAUGGACUCGCGGCUUAUCAGCUUGUUGGUGGGGUAGUGGCUUACCAAGGCUUUGAGGGGUAGCCGGCCUGAGAGGGUGACCGGACACAUUGGGACUGAGAUAAGGCACAGCCUACUACGGGAGGCAGCAGUGGGGAAUAUUGCACAAUGGGCGGAAGCAUGAUGCAGCAAAGCAGCGUGCGGGAUGACGGCCUUCGGGUUGUAAACCGAUUUCGCCUGUGACGAAGCGUGAGUGACGGUAAUGGGUAAAGAAGCACCGGCUAACUACGUG
rnacentral:rRNA from 1 species